rnacentral:tRNA from 1 species
GGCGGUGUAGCUCAGCUGGCUAGAGCGUACGGUUCAUACCCGUGAGGUCGCGGGUUCGAUCCCCUCCACCGCCAC